rnacentral:rRNA from 1 species
GAACUGAAACAUCUAAGUACCCCGAGGAAAAGAAAUCAACCGAGAUUCCCCCAGUAGCGGCGAGCGAACGGGGAGGAGCCCAGAGCCUGAAUCAGUGUGUGUGUUAGUGGAAGCGUCUGGAAAGGCGCGCGAUACAGGGUGACAGCCCCGUACACAAAAAUGCACAUACUGUGAGCUCGAUGAGUAGGGCGGGACACGUGGUAUCCUGUCUGAAUAUGGGGGGACCAUCCUCCAAGGCUAAAUACUCCUGACUGACCGAUAGUGAACCAGUACCGUGAGGGAAAGGCGAAAAGAACCCCGGCGAGGGGAGUGAAAAAGAACCUGAAACCGUGUACGUACAAGCAGUGGGAGCCUCUUAAUGGGGUGACUGCGUACCUUUUGUAUAAUGGGUCAGCGACUUAUAUUCUGUAGCAAGGUUAACCGAAUAGGGGAGCCGAAGGGAAACCGAGUCUUAACUGGGCGUUAAGUUGCAGGGUAUAGACCCGAAACCCGGUGAUCUAGCCAUGGGCAGGUUGAAGGUUGGGUAACACUAACUGGAGGACCGAACCGACUAAUGUUGAAAAAUUAGCGGAUGACUUGUGGCUGGGGGUGAAAGGCCAAUCAAACCGGGAGAUAGCUGGUUCUCCCCGAAAGCUAUUUAGGUAGCGCCUCGUGAAUUCAUCUCCGGGGGUAGAGCACUGUUUCGGCAAGGGGGUCAUCCCGACUUACCAACCCGAUGCAAACUGCGAAUACCGGAGAAUGUUAUCACGGGAGACACACGGCGGGUGCUAACGUCCGUCGUGAAGAGGGAAACAACCCAGACCGCCAGCUAAGGUCCCAAAGUCAUGGUUAAGUGGGAAACGAUGUGGGAAGGCCCAGACAGCCAGGAUGUUGGCUUAGAAGCAGCCAUCAUUUAAAGAAAGCGUAAUAGCUCACUGGUCGAGUCGGCCUGCGCGGAAGAUGUAACGGGGCUAAACCAUGCACCGAAGCUGCGGCAGCGACACUAUGUGUUGUUGGGUAGGGGAGCG